AAACCAAUUGCAAAUUGUCUCAGAAUAUCACUUUCUAUGUCAUACUUAAAGUUAAAUUAUAGUGAUGAUACGUGCCAGUAUGGAAAUGGACGACACCUAGACCUGCUGUGCUUGUGAAUAUGUACUGGAACAGACCGAAGGCGUCAAGCACUUGGAGUACUUGUAGAAUGGAUAUUCAUGACACACGUGUUCCCAAGAGCUUGGCAUGAUGUUGGACUACUGUUCACCUAUGAAAAGAAGAGAAAUAAAGACAUCCCUUUAUAA